GACGAACGCUGGCGGCGUGCCUAAUACAUGCAAGUCGAGCGGUUCUUAGAAAGCUUGCUUUCUAAGAAUAGCGGCGGACGGGUGAGUAACACGUGGGCAACCUACCUAUAAGACUGGGAUAACUUCGGGAAACCGGAGCUAAUACCGGAUAAUAUAAGAGAUUACAUGAUUUCUUAUUGAAAGAUGGCCUCGGCUAUCACUUAUAGAUGGGCCCGCGGCGCAUUAGCUAGUUGGUGAGGUAACGGCUCACCAAGGCGACGAUGCGUAGCCGACCUGAGAGGGUGAUCGGCCACACUGGGACUGAGACACGGCCCAGACUCCUACGGGAGGCAGCAGUAGGGAAUCUUCCGCAAUGGACGAAAGUCUGACGGAGCAACGCCGCGUGAGUGAUGAAGGCCUUAGGGUUGUAAAGCGCUUUUCUGGGGGACGAGAAAGGACGGUACCCCAGGAAUAAGUCUCGGCUAACUACGUG
rnacentral:rRNA from 1 species